CUACAGUGACAUUUCCAUUUCCUGAUUUCCUUUGGCACACCGACCAUGUAACUGAUUUUUUUUCCAUGGUCAAAGUCAAUUAGGAGGCAUCCUCAUUGUACCUCAAAUGGAGUUUUAAUUUGUGUGUAUAUUAUUAAGAUAGACCUUUUCCCUCUGGAUCAUUCACUUUGCACGAGACACUCAGUAGAUGUGAGUCCCCUGCUGCUGAGUUACACAACCCCUGUGUUUGGUUCAUUCCUUGGGUUAUGAAGGUUAAGGCUGCACAGAAUUCCAGGCAUCACGAAGACGAUGAUCAUGAUAAUGACAAUGACGAUGAUGAUAACAUGAGCAACAGCUGCCGUCGUUAGAUAGAAGCUAUACUGUGCCAAGCACUGUGCUGAGUCACAGUGUCACUGGAUCAUCAGGAAGACUGUAAGAUCUCUUCAGGAAAGGAAGAGCAAGGGCACUUAAGUGGAGACCAACAAGGGCCAGAAAACUGGAACAGGGAGGAGCAGCAAAUGAAAGGAGGAAACUCAUCCUCAAUAGCUGCCUCGCUUAACAAGAGGGCAGGUGUCCUUUGGAGCAAAAAUGUACAUUUUCUACCUGAAGAGAUCCCACAGCUGCCAGAGGGUCCUCCCCAGACUCCCACCCCAGGCCAGGAAGGUUCCCACCACACUAUAUGACCCUGAAGUGAAUCACCUCUAACAUGCCAGCAGAGCUUCAGCUUGCUACAUGCACCCCAGGGAAGAACUGGCUGCAGAAAGUCAAGUGUGGGCCCAGUCCUGAGAGGCAGACCUUCUUUCUGACUCUGCCCAGACCUGAAAACAGCAUACCCAGAUCCAAGUAUCUUUUAUGCUACCUUCUUGCUGUGUGACUUUGGGUAAGAACCUUAAAUUCUCUAAACCUUCCUUCCCUCUUGUUAAAUGAGGAUUGUAAUACUAAGCUCACCAAGUUUGCUAUGAGCAUCAACUGGAUUAAUAUUGGAUGAUUAUUAAGGGUUACAAAAAUAUAAUAAAAGUGCUAAUGCUAAA